UGAGGAAUCUUCCGCAAUGGACGAAAGUCUGACGGAGCGACGCCGCGUGGGUGAAGAAGGUUUUCGGAUCGUAAAGCCCUGUCAGGGGGAAAGAAACGCGCCCGUGCAAAUAGUUCGGGUGUCUGACGGUACCCCCAAAGGAAGCACCGGCCAACUACGUGCCAGCAGCCGCGGUAAUACGUAGGGUGCAAGCGUUAUCCGGAAUCACUGGGCGUAAAGAGCUCGUAGGCGGUUCGGUAAGUCACAUGUUAAAUACCCGGGCUUAACCCGGGGACUGCGUGUGAUACUGCCGUACUAGAGAAUGGGAGAGGAAAGUGGAAUUCCUGGUGUAGCGGUGAAAUGCAUAGAUAUCAGGAAGAACACCUGUGGCGAAGGCGGCUUUCUGGACCAUUUCUGACGCUGAGGAGCGAAAGCCAGGGGAGCGAACGGG
rnacentral:rRNA from 1 species